rnacentral:lncRNA from 10 species
CCAAAAAAAUAAAAAAAUAAAAAAAGAAGACUAAUAGUCAGAAUGGUAAACACAUAUCUGGGAUUUCCAAUAAGGAUAUCCUGUGACAAAUUUAAUUUAAGUUCAAACUAGGAAUCUCUACCAGCACCUAGCAAAUACAUUGGACAAUGAGGGUUAAUAGACAGGAAUGACAAGUGCUAUACUGCUGAAUUUUAUGCUCAGUGUUCACCACUUUUUCUUUAAUGGUAAUAACAAUAUCAAUAGCUAACAUUUUUUGAGCAUUUACUAAUGUAUGGACACUGUUACACAUAUCUUAUCCAUUUGCUAAUUAAAUCCUCUUAACAAUCUACAAGGCAGGAAUCAUUUUCUUCCCAAUUUUACUAAUAAGGUAGCUGCAUCACAAAGAGCUCAAGAAUUUGCCCAACAUCACAUAAUCAGGAUGUAGCAGAUGGGAAAUACCAACAUAGGCAGUCUCAUACUAGAACCCAGGCUCUUGCUUAGCACAGGGAUCCAUCUUCCUCUUUUGUUCAUGACCUAAGCCAUAGCUGCAAAAGGAUAUUUCUCCUAAAAUAAUUGAAGACACAUUGGAACCACUUGUAAGUUCUGUAAUUAUAUUUGAAUAACAUUUGUGUUGCUAUUUCCUUCUCUGAUAAUUAUCCUCUAUUCUCUUUCCAUCUGUAUGGCUGUAAUAGAAACAUCCAUAUGACCCUGUCUUCUAGACCAUAGUUUAUUGAACCAUGAGUGGGCAUCUGACUCAAGAUGAGCCACUGAGAUCUCUUCUAGGCUAUAUGGUGUAGGUAGAGGUUUCAGUUUUCGCCUAUCUUCUUGAACAGCAAAAAUAUAAACUUGGGCCGGGAGCAGUGGCUCACACCUGUAAUCUCAGCACUUUGGGAGGCUGAGGCGGGAGGAUUACCUGAGCUCAGGAGUUCAAGACCAGCCUGGGCAACAUGGCAAAACCCCGUCUCUACCCAAAAUACAAAAAAUUAGCCAGGUGUGGUCGUGCACACCUGUAGUCCCAGGUAAUCAGGAAGCUGAGAUGGGAGGAUCACUUAAGCUUGGGAGGCAGAGGCUGAAGUGAGCUGGGGUCAUGCCACUGCAUUCCAGCCUGGGUGACUCCAUCUCAAAAAAAAGUAAACUUGGAAGCUGGUAGCAGUGGCCAUUUACUACAGUACUACAUGGACCAGGUAAAAGAGAAAGCUGGUCUGCAGUAAAAGAAGAAUAAGCAACCCUUCCCUGGUUUACUACAGGAGACAGAUUCCAUAACUGUCCCCAAUUCUUUAUUCCCCUUCCUGUAUGCCACUCCCUUAACAUUAUGACUGCAGGUCUUCCCAACAAGAGGUGGAGCCAGUGGCCCAUCGCUUAGAUCUGGACUGGACUUGUGACUUGGCAAAAGUGACAGAAUGCUAGUUUCAAGUCUUAAUCACAAGAAGCUUUUCAUAUUUACAGUUUUUAUCUUUGACCCAUCUUCUCCCUAAGAACAUGCCUGGCUGGCUUGCUGGAAGGAUAAGAAGCAUAGCUAUGGUGCCAUAGCCAAGAUCAUCCUAAAAAGCCAGGAGAUAGCUGACCCACCAACUGACUAAAGAGACAAAGAGAUGCCCCCUGAGAUCAUCCAAGCCUAGUCCAGAUGAGCAGAACUGCCCAGCCAACCCAUAGACUUGUGAAAAAUAGUAAAUUGUGGUUUUUAUAAGGGUGGCUUGUAAUGCAGCGUUAGCUAACUGAUACAGUUACCUGCAGUUUUCCCAUCCAUUAAGAUACUAGAGGCCUGGAUAUGCUGCAGUAGCAGGUUUCCAUAACUCACACUUAUAGUCUUUUAAUAAAUUUUCCAUUUGUCUUAAGUUUUCUCAGUUGGGUUUCUGUUAUAUGCAACCGUAAGAAUCCUAAGUGAUGUGAGUUUUAUAAGAUCUGAGAAUAACAAGAACAGCAUCUUACUUUUACAGAGUCCUGUUAAGAGGUAACCAGUUUAGUAAUAGUGUAUUAAAAAGAGAUACACCGUGAGCUUUGUUCUGACUGCUUCAACAUGUUUGGGGCUGGAUCUCUACUUUUGUUUUGUUGGUAGUGAUAUUGGCAGUUUUUUUUUUUUUUUGAGACGGAGUCUCAAUCUAUCGUCCAGGCUGGAGUGCAGUGGCACGAUCUCGGCUCACUGCAAGCUCCGCCUCCUGGGUUUCCGCCAUUCUCCUGCCUCAGCCUCCCAAGUAGCUGGGACUACAGGUGCCCACCACCAUGCCUGGCUAAUUUUUUUGUAUUUUUAGUAGAGACAGGGUUUCACUGUGUUAGCCAGUGGUCUCGAUGGUCUCGAUGGUCUCGAUCUCCUGACCUUGUGAUCCACAAAUGCCACUAAUAUAUAAAUAUGUCUACACUGCAACAACUUAAAAGUCUACAUAUGCCUCAAGCAUUAAAAUGGAAAAGUUCCCCUUUCCUAUUCCCAACCUAUAGUAAAGACCCUCCUCAGAGGAACCAGAGUUAAUAGCUCAGACAGCUAAUAAGGAGCAAGAACUUUAAACUUGUACCUUUACUGAAACUUGGACAAUUGAAACCUGGAUGGAGAAGAUAAGAACCUACAUAAUUGUCAAAGCAGUGAACUGGAUUUUACUGUUGUUUCUUUUGCAGUUAUUGGAUCUGCUUUUAGGGCAGAUUGUUGCUUGUUUGACCUGAAAAUCCUCCAUAGGCCAUUUAAUGAUGUAAGUAUUACACUGAUCUCUCACCUGGAUAGAUGUUGGAGAUGGUGAGCCCCCAAAACUUGAGUGUUUUAGCACAAAGAGGUUCACACAGGAGGCUGGCUGUAUGGGUAAGCUAACUGUUCUUAUUGUAUGACAAGUAUUAGUCUCUUCGAGAUAAAUGUUUUAUUUUAUAUAUUUAGCUUAAGAUCUCAUUGUCUUAAAAAUGUCACUUGUUCUUACAAAUAAACAUUCGUGUUUGUUUGCAGGAUUGCUGAUAGGGAACUGAGCUCUAAGAAGCUAAAGGAGAGUCAUGGCACAUGGCAAUGCUGUUUCGAGGCCUGCAAGAUAUUUGCCAGCCUUCUAAGCCCCAUGAGAACCUUCACACAGGUUUCUGGAGUUCUGUGGAGCCAUAACAGGAGGAAUAAAGAAGGCAUCUGUGUCUUCCUGCGUGCCCUAAUAGAAGAACAUAUAUCCAUGG